rnacentral:rRNA from 1 species
GAUGAACGCUGGCGGUGUGCCUAAUACAUGCAAGUCGAGCGAACGGACGAGAAGCUUGCUUCUCUGAUGUUAGCGGCGGACGGGUGAGUAACACGUGGAUAACCUACCUAUAAGACUGGGAUAACUUCGGGAAACCGGAGCUAAUACCGGAUAAUAUUUUGAACCGCAUGGUUCAAAAGUGAAAGACGGUCUUGCUGUCACUUAUAGAUGGAUCCGCGCUGCAUUAGCUAGUUGGUAAGGUAACGGCUUACCAAGGCAACGAUGCAUAGCCGACCUGAGAGGGUGAUCGGCCACACUGGAACUGAGACACGGUCCAGACUCCUACGGGAGGCAGCAGUAGGGAAUCUUCCGCAAUGGGCGAAAGCCUGACGGAGCAACGCGGCGUGAGUGAUGAAGGUCUUCGGAUCGUAAAACUCUGUUAUUAGGGAAGAACAUAUGUGUAAGUAACUGUGCACAUCUUGACGGUACCUAAUCAGAAAGCCACGGCUAACUACGUG